UACGUAGGGGGCAAGCGUUGUCCGGAAUCAUUGGGCGUAAAGCGCGUGUAGGCGGCUCGAUAAGUCUGCUGUGAAAGUCCAAGGCUCAACCUUGGGAUGCCGGUGGAUACUGUCGAGCUCGAGUCCGGAAGAGGAGUGUGGAAUUCCUGGUGUAGCGGUGAAAUGCGUAGAUAUCAGGAGGAACACCUGUGGCGAAAGCGGCUCACUGGACCAUAACUGACGCUGAUGCACGAAAGCUAGGGGAGCAAACAGG
rnacentral:rRNA from 1 species